GGCGGCAUGCCUUACACAUGCAAGUCGAACGCGAAAGGGGGGGCAACUCCCCGAGUAGAGUGGCGAACGGGUGAGUAAUACAUCGGAACGUGUCCAGUAGCGGGGGAUAACCUCUCGAAAGAGAGGCUAAUACCGCAUACGACCUACGGGUGAAAGAGGGGGAUCGCAAGACCUCUCACUAUUGGAGCGGCCGAUGUCGGAUUAGCUAGUUGGCGGGGUAAAAGCCCACCAAGGCGACGAUCCGUAGCUGGUCUGAGAGGACGGCCAGCCACACUGGAACUGAGACACGGUCCAGACUCCUACGGGAGGCAGCAGUGGGGAAUUUUGGACAAUGGGCGCAAGCCUGAUCCAGCCAUGCCGCGUGAGUGAAGAAGGCCUUCGGGUUGUAAAGCUCUUUCGGCGGGGACGAAAAGGUCCGUGUUAACACCAUGGAUCCAUGACGGUACCCGCAGAAGAAGCACCGGCUAAC
rnacentral:rRNA from 1 species